AUUGAACGCUGGCGGCAUGCCUUACACAUGCAAGUCGAACGGUAACAGGUCUUCGGAUGCUGACGAGUGGCGAACGGGUGAGUAAUACAUCGGAACGUGCCCGAGAGUGGGGGAUAACGAAGCGAAAGCUUUGCUAAUACCGCAUACGAUCUCAGGAUGAAAGCAGGGGACCGUAAGGCCUUGCGCUCACGGAGCGGCCGAUGGCAGAUUAGGUAGUUGGUGGGAUAAAAGCUUACCAAGCCGACGAUCUGUAGCUGGUCUGAGAGGACGACCAGCCACACUGGGACUGAGACACGGCCCAGACUCCUACGGGAGGCAGCAGUGGGGAAUUUUGGACAAUGGGCGCAAGCCUGAUCCAGCCAUGCCGCGUGCAGGAUGAAGGCCUUCGGGUUGUAAACUGCUUUUGUACGGAACGAAAAGACUCUGGUUAAUACCUGGGGUCCAUGACGGUACCGUAAGAAUAAGCACCGGCUAACUACGUG
rnacentral:rRNA from 1 species